rnacentral:rRNA from 1 species
GACGAACGCUGGCGGCGUGCUUAACACAUGCAAGUCGAACGGAAAGGCCCUGCUUUUGUGGGGUGCUCGAGUGGCGAACGGGAGAGUAACACGUGAGUAACCUGCCCUUGACUUUGGGAUAACUUCAGGAAACUGGGGCUAAUACCGGAUAGGAGCUCCUGCUGCAUGGUGGGGGUUGGAAAGUUUCGGCGGUUGGGGAUGGACUCGCGGCUUAUCAGCUUGUUGGUGGGGUAGUGGCUUACCAAGGCUUUGACGGGUAGCCGGCCUGAGAGGGUGACCGGCCACAUUGGGACUGAGAUACGGCCCAGACUCCUACGGGAGGCAGCAGUGGGGAAUAUUGCACAAUGGGCGGAAGCCUGAUGCAGCAACGCCGCGUGCGGGAUGACGGCCUUCGGGUUGUAAACCGCUUUCGCCUGUGACGAAGCGUGAGUGACGGUAAUGGGUAAAGAAGCACCGGCUAACUACGUGCCAGCAGCCGCGGUGAUACGUAGGGUGCGAGCGUUGUCCGGAUUUAUUGGGCGUAAAGGGCUCGUAGGUGGUUGAUCGCGUCGGAAGUGUAAUCUUGGGGCUUAACCCUGAGCGUGCUUUCGAUACGGGUUGACUUGAGGAAGGUAGGGGAGAAUGGAAUUCCUGGUGGAGCGGUGGAAUGCGCAGAUAUCAGGAGGAACACCAGUGGCGAAGGCGGUUCUCUGGGCCUUUCCUGACGCUGAGGAGCGAAAGCGUGGGGAGCGAACGGGCUUAGAUACCCUGGUAGUCCACGCUGUAAACGGUGGGUACUAGGUGUGGGGUCCAUUCCACGGGUUCCGUGCCGUAGCUAACGCUUUAAGUACCCCGCCUGGGGAGUACGGCCGCAAGGCUAAAACUCAAAGGAAUUGACGGGGCCCCGCACAAGCGGCGGAGCAUGCGGAUUAAUUCGAUGCAACGCGUAGAACCUUACCUGGGUUUGACAUGGAUCGGGAGUGCUCAGAGAUGGGUGUGCCUCUUUUGGGGUCGGUUCACAGGUGGUGCAUGGCUGUCGUCAGCUCGUGUCGUGAGAUGUUGGGUUAAGUCCCGCAACGAGCGCAACCCUUGUUCACUGUUGCCAGCACGUUAUGGUGGGGACUCAGUGGAGACCGCCGGGGUCAACUCGGAGGAAGGUGGGGAUGACGUCAAGUCAUCAUGCCCCUUAUGUCCAGGGCUUCACGCAUGCUACAAUGGCUGGUACAGAGAGUGGCGAGCCUGUGAGGGUGAGCGAAUCUCGGAAAGCCGGUCUCAGUUCGGAUUGGGGUCUGCAACUCGACCUCAUGAAGUCGGAGUCGCUAGUAAUCGCAGAUCAGCAACGCUGCGGUGAAUACGUUCCCGGGGCU